AACGAACGCUGGCGGCAUGCCUAAUACAUGCAAGUCGAACGAGAUCUUCGGAUCUAGUGGCGCGCGGGUGCGUAACGCGUGGGAAUCUGCCCUUGGGUUCGGAAUAACUUCGGGAAACUGAAGCUAAUACCGGAUGAUAUCGAAAGAUCAAAGAUUUAUCGCCCAGGGAUGAGCCCGCGUAGGAUUAGCUAGUUGGUGGGGUAAAGGCCUACCAAGGCGACGAUCCUUAGCUGGUCUGAGAGGAUGAUCAGCCACACUGGGACUGAGACACGGCCCAGACUCCUACGGGAGGCAGCAGUAGGGAAUAUUGGACAAUGGGGGCAACCCUGAUCCAGCAAUGCCGCGUGAGUGAUGAAGGCCUUAGGGUUGUAAAGCUCUUUUACCCGGGAUGAUAAUGACAGUACCGGGAGAAUAAGCCCCGGCUAACUCCGUGCCAGCAGCCGCGGUAAUACGGAGGGGGCUAGCGUUGUUCGGAAUUACUGGGCGUAAAGCGCACGUAGGCGGCGAUUUAAGUCAGAGGUGAAAGCCCGGGGCUCAACCCCGGAACUGCCUUUGAGACUGGAUUGCUAGAAUCUUGGAGAGGCGGGUGGAAUUCCGAGUGUAGAGGUGAAAUUCGUAGAUAUUCGGAAGAGCACCAGUGGCGAAGGCGGCCCGCUGGACAAGUAUUGACGCUGAGGUGCGAAAGCGUGGGGAGCAA
rnacentral:rRNA from 1 species